UUUUCCCCCUUUCCCUAUCUGAAGCCCUAGUUGCUGAAGAUCACCGCCAGUCCCCAAAGCUAUUUCCUCUCUCGACUCUCUUUCUCAGUGUCUCGUCACUAUCUCCCACGAGCCCAAGCUCUCGGCAGCUCAUCUCAUCUCCGGUCUCUCACCUCUCGUCUCCGGUCUGUCAAGCUCUCGUCAGCUCAAGCUCUCUCCUGCCCUUGCUUCGCCGGCCGGCAGAAGCAGACGGAACGCAUCUGGUCAAUCGGGUGGUGGUAGUCGUCGUCUUCUUGCUACUCAUGGUCUCGGUCUCGCACCUGGUUUCGAUCUCUCCCUUCCCUGCGCUCUUCGACGCCGGUAACGGAGGCAACAGAUCCCGAUGGGCUGGUCUUCGUUGUCGCUUCGAGUCUUCUUGUUUCGAGCCUUGCAGUCAGUCUCUCCCUUGCCAUCAGCUUCUCCUUUGCCGUCAGCUUCCUUCGCGCAACCUUAUUUGGUGAGUUCCCCUUGUUCCUUUGCCGUCAGCUUCCUUCGCGCAACCUUAUUUGGUGAUGGAAAUUCUUGUACCAAGUCUGGAAACUGAGUCAAGCCUGCAUCGGAAGGUGUGGACCUAUUUUUUCUUGUUGACUCCAUUGCUCAAAGUUCUCUUGGUUUGAAAGGUGAUGGUGGUGCAUUUUCAUCUGCUAUGCAAGCUGUCCUCUCACGCUUAUUGUCUGCUGCUGCUCCUCUUGGACAUACUACGCAAGAAAAUCGCAGGCAGUGUCUUAAGGCAAGUUGAUAUUCCAGUUUACUUAAAAUAUUUGUGCUUUUUAGCUUUUUCAUAUAUCUUUCCGUUGAAUCAUUAUUCUCUAUAACCUUUCCUUGCAAUUGCUGAGGUUUUAAGGCUGUGGUUGGAGAGAAGAAUCCUUCCGGAAUCCAUUGUUCG